CACAGAAAUAUAUCGAGAUAGAAGGAAAGAGUGUAUGUACCUCGCGUGGCGAAAAGACGAUUAAUCAUCGUCUUUGCUCGCCACGAUGCUCAGUCCGCUCUCGACCGCUCUCAGUGUGUGACGUACUAAUGCAAACAGAAAAUGACCCCGUGCUCGAUAAUUAACUGUGCAAACGCCACCAAAAAAGUUAAAGGUGUCAAUAAAAAUAUUUCCUUUCACCUUUUUCCGAAAUAUUCUCUUGUGAAAAAAUAAAUGGAUUGAAGCAACGGGUCGUAAAAACUGGUUUCCUACGAAACACAGGCUGAUUUGUUCCAUACAUUUUCACGAAGAUACGUUUACUGGCCCAUCAAAGUUUCGGCGAAUAAUGUUAAGUGGUUGAGGAGUUCCUUCCCUCUCUAUCAUUAGCUCAGCACCAUGAUACUAGAAUUUUAUAUUGUCACCUGACUUGCACAUGUAUGCAAACUUUCAGCUCAAUAAGUUGAGUAAAACUACUUUAAUAUUCAAUUGCAAGAUUUGAUACAUACAUACAUUCAUAUACACAUGCAUACUAAUGAAGUUUAAGUUAAUAAAAAGCUUGUAAAAAUUAA